AUAUGAGGUACAUAUUCAAAGAGGGGUAUUUUGUGGGGUGUUUUUUUUCCUCUAAUAUUUAUUUAUUUAUUUAUUUUGGCUGUGCCGGGUCUUAGUUGCUGCUCACAGGAUCUUCGUUGUGGUGUGUGGGCUUCUGAGCUGUGGCAUGCAUGCAGGAUCUAGUUUCCUGACAAGGGAUUGAACCCAGGCCCCCUGCAUUGGGAGCUCAAGAGUCUUAACUCUCUGGAUAGCCAGGCAGGUCCCAAAGAGGGGUAUUUUGAAAUAGAAAGAAUUUUAAGAAGUCUACGGUCUUUGUAUAAUUGCCAUGACUGAAAAGAUGCCUUAUUUGUCUCACUUAACCAUGAGGUAAUUGUAGAAGAGAUUGGCCAGAAGGUGGUUGGUUGAGAAAAGAAAGGUUGUAGUCAUCACUUUGAGAAUUGUAUUUGUACUGUUAGAGACAGCUGCCAGAGUUUGAAAUAUUCCUUACUAUAUUUGCUUUGCACGUAGAAAUCCCAGUUUACUAUUUGAUCUAAAAGGAGGUGAAAGAGUAGUUUUUUGUUUUGUUUUUGUGGUAAAAACACAUACCAUAAAUUUACCCUUUUAACAGUUUUUAGGUGUCCAUCACGGUGUUGUUGGCUGUAUGCACAAUUGUUGUAUGACAGCUCUUGUCAUCUUGUGUGACUGAAACCCUACCCCCUCCCCUAGCCCCUGGCAGUCACCAUUCUACUUCCUCUUUCUCAGAGUCUGAUCACUUCGGGUGCCUCAUAGAAAUGGAAUCAUAUAGUGUUUCUUUUGUGAUUGGCUUCUUUCACAUAGCAUAAUGCCCUCAAGGUUCAUCCAUCAGUGUUUAAAGUAACACAUGGACUUCUGAUUCCAGUAAUGUGGCAGGUUAGAUAGUCCAUAGUUUCUUACUGCCACAAAACAAGAAGAUUCUCAAUAAACACACUUUUUAAAUAAAUUGCUAGGUGGGGAGGAAGUAAGGAAGACAUCCAGGCUUUCUGUGCUCCCCACCUCCUAAAAAAAGAUUUCAGCAAAUGGCAGAGCUACUCUGAAUACACAUGGCAGUAUCAGCUGUGACAUUUGUAUUCACCUAAUAAAAUAGUCUCAAGGUAUAUAAGGCAAAAAUGAAUAGAAUUACAGAAAUAAAUUGACAAUUCUAUAUUCACAGACUUUUUUUCAUUUAUUUGGUUAAUUUAUUUUUAUUUUUGGCUGUGUUGUGUCUUCGUUGCUGCGCGUGGGCUUUCUCUAGAUGCGGCGAGCGGGGGCUGCUCUUCGUUGCAGUGUGCAGGCUUCUUAAU